CCUUUACAAGGCACGAAAGUGGGUGAAGUAAGGCAACUCCUUGUGCUUAUCCAAAAGAUAGGCUUUUUUAGUAUGUAAUGUAUACUAAGAAUAAGUGAUGGGCAAGACCGGUGCCAGCAGCCGCGGUAAUACCGGCGUCACAAGUGGAGAUCACGAUUACUGGGUCUAAAGUGUUCGUAGCUGGUCAUAUAAGUCUCUUGUGAAAGUUCUGUAGCUUAAACUCAGAAUUGCAAGAGAUACUGUAUGACUUGAGACCGGAAGA
rnacentral:rRNA from 1 species